GGCCUAAUGGUCUAGUCGUAUGAUUCCUGCUUUGGGUAUCCCUUGAAGUUCUUGAAUGCAGGAGGUCCUGGGUUCAAUUCCCAGUUAGGCCC